AAAUGCCUUUCCCGGGUGCUCCCACGGCAGGUGCUUCCCCUUCUAGGUCUCUGCCCGGCAUCGCCUCCUGAGAGCCUCACCGGGUCCCCCCAGCACCCCACUCUCUCUCUCACGUGUGCACACCCUCCUCAUCUUGUCACCCCUUUCCUGCCUUCGUUUUUCUUCAAAGUGCUUAUUUCCACCUGAAAAUAUGUUAUAUUGUAAUAACUGUAUUUAUAGAACGUAUAAAUAGUUUAUAAAAUUUACAACAUUGUCUGUUGCUCUGAAGUGUAAGUUCUAGGAGAGCAUGAAUAUUGCCUGAAGGAAAGAUGGAAGGGGAGAGCGAUGCAGGGAGGGAGGGAGGAAGGAAGGAAGGAAGGAAGGAGCCGAGGGUCAGAUCUGCUGGGCGGACACAGGAGGGCGCGGGGAGGUGAACCCCAGGCGCUGGGACAUUCGAGGGGACGGUGGUCUGGCUGGCUCAGAGAUAGGGCACUUUGUGACGUAUGAGGCGGGAGGAUGACUUUUGGAAGAAAAUGUGUGGAGCUUUAAAUACGAGAAAAGGGAGCUGCGGCACCAAGAAGCAGAAUUCAGUAUUGACCCUAAAUCCUCUUCCUUUUCACUGGAAGGCAGGGUAGCUUCUAGAAAAGAGAGGGAGGGUCGAGUCCUGUAGCUCGUCCUCCAGCCUCGUCUGAGCUGCUCUGCCGACCCUCCAGCCCGGCAAUGGGGAGGGUGUGGACCCGGCACCGGGGCCAGGGAGGAGCUGGCAGCGUCACACCCUCUGGAAUGCUGCGGCUGCGAGUAACUCGCUCCAGAUUCGCGCAUUCCCGUCAGAACACGAAACCAGAGGAAAAACCCGUGAGGCCCAGAUUGAUCAGCACAGAACUUAGCAACAGCACAACAGGCUGUGGCCAGCCGCCCUGGCCCGCUAGAGGGGCUUUCCGCCAGGCCCGGGGUUGGGGGACUGGGAGCUGGCUCCACCACCCCGACAGGCUUGCAGGGCCCAAAGGCCCCCCACCACGGGCGUCAGGGUGGAGGCACUGGGGCUCCUGCUGGAACCACGGGGCUCCCAGAGAUGGUCUGAAAUCCCGGUCUUCCCCACGCGCUCCCUUCUAUGGGGUCUGAGAGGAGAAUGCUGACGGGCGUCCCCACGCGCAGCCGUGGUUCACUCUGCUGGUUGGGCAGCCAGGAGCUGACAAGGGCAUGGGGGACUUCUGAGUUUCAGAAACAUCCAGAUGGUCCGGCAUUUCUUGCAGCUGCCACCUGGCCUGGUUGAACCUGCUCGUGGCCUGGCGUGGCCUGCUCGUGCAGUGGCGGGGAGUUAGGGCCGACCCUUUCAGCUGGGGGCCUGGAAGAGCCGGUGAAGGGCCAGAGCCUGGGAUCGCAGCAGCCCCACAUCUGCGCGCCUGACUCACGGACUCUGACAUAGUGACGGUUUGUGCAGCUUGCUAAGGAGAGAGCACCCAGGCCUGUCCUCCAAGGGCCCCGUCUGAGGCCCUAUCUCAGAGGUGCGGUAGUAACAGGAUCCCUCUGGAGCCCCAGCCCCCAGAGGGGAGUCCCUGCCCCACCUACCAGUCUGUGGCCCGUGCACAGUUUCUCCUCCCUGAGUGUCACCGCUUCCUCGCCUGUGAGCUGGGAGGACUAAGUGACCAGUGUGGCUCGUUCCUGGCACCACAUACACGGCAGCCCUCAUUCUGGUUGUUCCCACAUCUUGGCUGUCGUGAAUAGUGCUACAGCGAACAUCAAACUAAAAAGCUUCCACCCAGCAAAGGAGACAAUCAACAGAGUGAAAAGGCAACUACAGAGUGGGAGAAGAUAUUUACCAACCAUGUGUCUGAUAAGGGGUAUAUAGCCAAAGUAAUAAGGAACUCCUACAACUCCACAGCAAAAAAUUGAAUAACUCAAUUGAAAAAUGGACUAAGGACUUGAAUUUUUCCAAAGGAGACACACAAAUGGCCAACAGGUACAUGAAAAGAUGCUCAACGUCACUGAUCAUCAGGGAAAUGCAAAUCAAAACCUUAUACCUGUGAGGAUGGUUGUUACCAAAAAAACAAAGACAAGUGUUGGUGAGGAUGUAGAGAAAUUGAAACCCUCGCACACUGUUGAUGGGGAUGCAAAAAGAUGCGGUCGCUAUGGAAGAUAGUAUGGAGGCUCCUCAAGAAGUUAAAAGUUGACUACCAUAUGAUCCAGCCACCCCACUUCUGGGUACUUAUCCGCAAGAGCUGAAACCAAGCUUUCUUUUGCAGUGGGCAGUACUCUCCUUCCCCAGGUGCCCACUGUCCAGAGGUCCCUGCCUUUCUCUUGCACUCCCUGCCUCGGGCCUGGGGCCUUUGCUGGGGUGCUCAGGAGCUUCUGAGGGUGGGAUUAACAGGCACUGAAGCUCGGUCACCUCCACAACUUCUAAAUUGGGUUUCUCACCAACGAUGUGAAGAUUUCAUGGAACAAGGGGCCUCUGCCGCCACCUGCUGGGCACCUGGGGAAAGGGCUCUUACGCCCCAAGGAGCCCUUCCUGCUGUCUGGGCAUUUAUAAAUGCAUGCCAGCAAUAGCAAUAACAAUAGCUGUGAUUUAUUAAAUGAUUGUCAGACAUUGUA